rnacentral:rRNA from 1 species
AGGGUUUGAUCCUGGCUCAGAACGAACGCUGGCGGCGUGGCUAAAGCAUGCAAGUCGCACGAUUAAGACCCCCUUCGGGGGGUGUAUAAAGUGGCGAAAGGGCGAGUAAUGCAUGGGUAACGUACCCCUCGCACAGGGAUAGCUGCGGGAAACUGCAGGUAAUACCUGAUGAGACCACAGUGUCAUAUGGCACAGCGGUCAAAGGGUGGGGAUCCUUCGGGACCUACUGGCGAGUGAGCGGCCCAUGUCCUAUCAGCUUGUUGGUGAGGUAACGGCUCACCAAGGCAACGACGGGUACCGGGACUGAGAGGUUGACCCGGCGCAUUGGGACUGAGACACUGCCCAGACUCCUACGGGAGGCUGCAGCACCGAAUAUUCCGCAAUGGGCGCAAGCCUGACGGAGCGACGCCGCGUGUGGGAUGAAGCCCUUCGGGGUGUAAACCACUGUCAGGGGUUAGCAAGCAAUGGAGGCCAAUACCCUCCGGCGUUGAGCAGCCCCAGAGGAAGCCACGGCUAACUUCGUGCCAGCAGCCGCGGUAAGACGAAGGUGGCAAGCGUUGUUCGGAAUCACUGGGCUUAAAGAGCACGUAGGCGGUCCGUCAAGCAUCUUGUGAAAUCCCUCGGCUCAACCGAGGAAUGGCUGGGUGAACUGGCGGACUUGAGGCAGGUAGGGGCACGUGGAACUCUUGGUGGAGCGGUGGAAUGCGUAGAUAUCAAGAGGAACGCCGGUGGCGAAAGCGGCGUGCUGGGCCUGUCCUGACGCUGAGGUGCGAAAGCCUGGGGAGCGAACGGGAUUAGAUACCCCGGUAGUCCUGGCCCUAAACGAUGUCCACUAGGUCGGAGGCUCUCCGACGAUUUUCCGGCCGAAACAAAAGCGUUAAGUGGACCGCCUGGGGAGUACGGUCGCAAGGCUAAAACUCAAAGGAAUUGACGGGGGCUCACACAAGCGGUGGAGCAUGUUGCUUAAUUCGAUCAACGCGAAGAACCUUAUCCUGGGCUUGACAUACUUGGAUACCCAUCUGGAAACAGAGUAGGUUGCUCUUCGGAGUGAAACUUGUACAGGUGCUGCAUGGCUGUCGUCAGCUCGUGUCGUGAGAUGUUGGGUUAAGUCCCGUAACGAGCGAAACCCUUGUCGCUAGUUGCCAGCGCGUCAUGGCGGGGACUCUAGCGAGACUGCCGGUGUUAAACCGGAGGAAGGUGGGGAUGACGUCAAGUCCUCAUGGCCUUUAUGCCCAGGGCUGCAAACGUGCUACAAUGGUCGAAACAAACCGAAGCGAAGCCGCGAGGUGGAGCAAAUCGGACAAAGUCGGCCUCAGUUCGGAUUGGAGUCUGCAACUCGACUCCAUGAAGUCGGAAUCGCUAGUAAUCGUGUAUCAGCGCGACACGGUGAAUGUGUUCCUGAGCCUUGUACACACCGCCCGUCAAGUCAUGGAAGCUGGUAGCGCCCGAAGUCGGCAUAUGUCAGUGCUGCCGAAGGUGAGAUCGGUGACUGGGACUAAGUCGUAACAAGGUA